UCAUUGUGUUAUGAUAGCUGCUCAUGAUAAAGAGGCUUUUGACAUCACAAUGGUUUACAUUUUUCUCACAGGGCCCAAUCCAGCUCCCAUUAAAGACAAAUACAAAGGGUCCCAUUCACUUCAGAGUUGGACUGGAUCCACUGCCUCGGAACCCACAGAUCACACGGCAAAUCGUUUGUCUGACAUGGAGGAGACAUAGGUGCAAGAGAGCAGACACAGCAGAUCUACGGGUAUGGUUACAAGGCGGUAACAUACAUAGAUGGGCUUUAAAAUAAAGGCUGAAAUGGAGAGAGUUAAAACAGAAAAUUGCCCUCACCUGCUUCCUUUAUGUGCUUGUACACAUCAUCUGAGCCAGCGGAAGAGUAUGGAAUGUCAUCAUGGGCUACAAAAUCAAUCUGCAAAAGUUACAGGAGAACAAAUAAUCAGAUGCAGCCAUCAGGGAAUCUGCAUUGGUUUUGGAAGGACAGUUUCUCUUCUGAACUGCAUCUGCCUGCCUUUGAAAGUCUCAUCUGAAAGCAGUUAAUUUACAGAAGGAAGGGAUGGGGUUUGGAGAAGAAUGGUACCUUAUGUUUUUCUAAGAACUCCGGUGUGAGCGUCCAUGGAGCAUCUCUGAUGACUUCAUCUACGUAGCGACAGUGUCUGAGUGCCUCAUACCGCUCGGUUUCAUUCAUUACGGUGAAGCCUUUGAACUUGUGGGUUAGAUCAUCACUGCAAACUGACAUAAGAACAAUCAACAAAAUAUUUCUAUGUUAACUUUGCACAAUUACUGCAUCUGGUUGGUUAAAUGUAUGAUUUUCCAGACCCCAGCUUUGCUCCUGGAUUGAAGCUGGGGCACUGCUCUGAUGCAUGUGACUGAAGACAUCUGCGUAGCAAUAGGAGUGUAACAAGCAAAGUUGAGGUAUGCUCCCCCAGUUGUGGACAGGGAGAAAGGAGACAAGGCUCUUUGCCUUGUCCCCAGCUGCUUGGUCAAUUUAGAAAUCUGGUGCUAAGCAGCAGGAGGAAAUGUCUUCCCCUGAAUGAGCCCUCUGCCAAGAGUCAGCAUCUUCCACUGCUGGCAAGAUUGAUGCAAAAGGCCCGUACUCUGCUCUGCUUUGUGGUCUACACUACGACUUUAAUUCGGAUUUAGCAGCGUUAAAUCGAAUUAACCCUGCACCCAUCCACACAACGAAGCCAUUUAAUUCAAAAUAAAGGGCUCUUUAAAUCGAUUUCUGUACUCCAC